AGUGAUCUCUGGUGCAAAUUUACGGUAGCCAGCCUCACAAUGUGCGAACAGCACGGCGGUUGAAAGAGCAGGAUCUACUUAAAAAGAUCCCCAGAUUGACUGGUUAUUUCAAGUUUGCUGAACCGGACCCCGAUCCUGGGUUUACGGCUGACAUUGCGGCCAGUGCUACCACAACCGCGGUUGAAAAAGUGAGCUGCAGCGAGCUCUAGCCUGGGCGCAGUCCACAUCCACGCCGCUCAUGAGGACGAGCCAGCUCCCGCAACGGGAUCAAAGGAGCAGGAGUCAGAGGCAGAGCCAUCUGAAACGCCACCACCAUCCCCACAAGACCAACGAGCCGUGUCCGAGCCGGAGCCAUGGCUGUUGCACCUGCUGCCGUGGAGCUAACAGAGACUGCAACAGCAGCUGCCGCUUCCUACGGCUCGGACCCAGCACGCUGGGGUACAAUAGAUGGACAGAUGCGGGCAUACUGGGCUAGAUGGGGCCCCCGAAAUCGUGUCAAAACCAAGACGCUAGAUGUUGCAGCGUCGGAAAGACGACGAACUCCAAAAGAGCUCCUGUGCCCUUCCCCCACCUCACAAAACAAAGCUGGCCUGAGAAUCAACUGUAGAGCCCAUCCAAGGUGAAGAGAAGCACAGUGCAGGAACCAAAGGGUGUGCACAGCGUUUUGUCAUGAACGUGCUAACUGAGGUUACAUAUGUGGGUAUUCAGUACUCUCUAGGGUUCUUG